UACAGAGGGUGCAAGCGUUGUUCGGAAUUAUUGGGCGUAAAGGGAGUGUAGGCUGCUUGUUAAGUCUUCUGUGAAAUCUCCGGGCUUAACUCGGAACGGCCAAGUGAAACUGUCAAACUAGAGUGCAGAAGGGGCAAUCGGAAUUCUUGGUGUAGCGGUGAAAUGCGUAGAUAUCAAGAGGAACACCUGAGGUGAAGACGGGUUGCUGGGCUGACACUGACGCUGAGGCGCGAAAGCCAGGGGAGCAAACGGG
rnacentral:rRNA from 1 species